rnacentral:lncRNA from 1 species
UUUUUGUUCUUCUCUUAGGGAGUCCAGCUGAGCUGAAGCAGUGAAGAUGAGUGCUGACUCAAGAAGUCAUUUUGCUGUGUUGUACAGCAGAAAAGGUCUGCAAAUACAUUCAGAAGAAAGCCUAUGGACCUACUGUAAGGCUGUGUGGAUAUUCUGCAAGAGGUUCAGCGUGAAACUAAUAUUCUUUAGACUCUUGGAAUCAGGGUGUAAGAGCUUAUUGCCCUAACCCAUGUUGGAGUCUGCUACUCUUGUGACAGAUGCAGCAGAAAGGAAUUUACACCUGUGCUUCAGCUGUUCAGUUUGCAGUCUACUGUCUUAACACAAACUUACACAUUCUUCAGCAGGUUAAACUGAGAUGCCAGUAUGAAAACUGGAGCAGCUGAAAUGCAAACACAUGCUCUCUUCCUGAAAACACAGUUUCUUCCUGCUCUCAGCCCUGCCAAAGCAUUUCAUCAGUCCUUUCCAAUUCCCACCAUUUCCUAUUGAGUUCCUGGUAUUGGGGAAAUGGAGUUGAAUGCAGUGCUUGAAAACUGCACCCUGAUUUUACUAAGAGACAUUAUUUUUAUUUGAAAGACUUUGAACAACCUCCCUUUUCUCAGAAUUAGAUUCUACCUGGUCAUGGGGGGGCUUGUCUAGUAAGUGAUUAAAUAAAAAAGGAAAACCUUAAGCA